GCUGAAGCAAGCUCUCUUAGUUUCAAAGGAGGCACUGCUGCCUUUGAAAUAAUCUUUGCAGAAGGGUCAGCAAUUCUUAUUAUUCAGACUUUAAAGUGAAUUCUAAUGUUUCUGAAAGGAACUAGAUUGACAGCCAGUGGAAGUGAAGUCCUUCUUCCAUCUGCAAAACAAGAUUUGAAGAGCACUGGUACUUUCUCUCUGUGAAUGUGCUUGCACUCUUGAAUAGAGUUACUACUUAGUCUUCUUUUUGAGCAGAUUGAGCUAUGUCACUCUCUCACUGAAAGAUGUUUUGUCCAAUCACUGAGCUUUUGAGGCUUCUUUUUUUUCUUAGUGUUUUUUUUUCUUUUUUUUUAAUUUUUGUGUGUAUGCGCAUAUGUUUUUUAUUUGUUUUAAACACCACCUUCAGUUUUUCAACUUUCUUUUGAAAAGGUGAACACCAGAAGGGGAUCUACUAUUACAGCAUUUAUUACAGUGAUAUUGUAUUUAGAGAUAUAACUACCUUUCUACUCCUUUGCUUAUAUAUGAGCUUUUUUGUUAAGUAAGGGCUGUAUUCUUUUUUUCUCUAAAUCUAUGAAGUUAACUGUAUUAAAAUGUGCUUUAUUUAGAACAUCUGCUUUACCAUGUGUACUAUAAAAUACAGUACUUAAAGCAAGUUACUUAUAGUUUAUUAUUAUGUGCUUUCAAGGUGAGAAGAUUUAGUGACUGUAUUUUGGAAAAUAUUCAUGUGAAUUAAAUGAGCUUCAGCACUUUUUUUAAAGUAUUGCUAUCAUAAGUAAUGUAAUAUUUUGAAUAUGGUUGUAUUAAUAGAUAAUACUAGUUUUCACAGUAUCC
ensembl:lncRNA